GGAGGCAAGCAGUGGGGAAUAUUGCACAAUGGGCGAAAGCCUGAUGCAGCCAUGCCGCGUGUAUGAAGAAGGCCUUCGGGUUGUAAAGUACUUUCAGCAGGGAAAGAAAGGUGAUCAGGUUAAAAACCCUAGAAAAUUGACGGUACCGCAGAAAAGCCCGAACCCCC
rnacentral:rRNA from 1 species